CAUUCGAGUGGCGACGGUGAGUAACGCGUGGGUAACCUGCCUUACACAGGGGGAUAACACCUGGAAACAGGUGCUAAUACCGCAUAAGCGCACAGGGCCGCAUGGCCCGGUGUGAAAAACUCCGGUGGUGUAAGAUGGACCCGCGUCUGAUUAGCUUGUUGGCGGGGUAGGGGCCCACCAAGGCGACGAUCAGUAGCCGGCCUGAGAGGGUGGACGGCCACAUUGGGACUGAGACACGGCCCAAACUCCUACGGAAGGCAGCAG
rnacentral:rRNA from 1 species